GGGCUUCGGCAGCACAUAUACUAAAAUUGGAAAGAUACAGAGAAGAUUAGCAUGGCCCUGCGCAAGGUCCAUAGAUAUAAAAAUAAAAUAGACUAGAAUAUA